CGGGCAGUGAAACGAAAAGAUUUCAAGCCUACUGCGCACACACGCAUCUGUUCGAAGCACUUUGAAGAAAAUUGUUUCGAUAAAGAAAAGACUGGUGGGAAUUGGCUUCACAGUGACGCCGUGCCAGCAAAAUUCGAUUUCCCUGAGAAUCUUCAUGCAAAGAGACCCAAGCUUCGUAAACCUCCGACUAAGAGAGAUUCAUUAGGCGAAAUUUCAUGUGCAGAAACUUCCCAUAAUUCUCCCGCUAUAAAAGCUUCUGAAGUAAAAGCUGGGACAAGCAAAUGUUUUAGACACACAGGAGAUUUUAAGGGAGAUGAUUUGGCUGUUCCUUGCAUAGCUAGUAAAAUGGCAAGUGUUGCAAAAAAAGCAGCUGAAGAAUAAACCCAGAAAAUUAAGUAAUUUGCAGAGAUCAGCCCACAGGAUGAGGAAGAAAAUUUUAAAUUUGGAAUCAUUAAUGAGUGACCUUCAAAAAAAUAAUCUUAUGCUGCCACCAGGUACCUCAGACUUGUUAAAGUGUGUCAGCAGAGGUCAAACAAGAGAAAAGUACC